AGCUAACUCAGUAGACUUGGCUAAGCAUGUAGUCCCGAAAGCGGCGCACUGGCGGACGGGGGUUCAAAUCCCCCCGGCUCCACCA
rnacentral:tRNA from 1 species